GUUUUAGCCAGGAUGGUCUCGAUCUCCUGACCUUGUGAUUCGCCCACCUCAGCCUCCCAAAGUGUUGGGAUUACAGGCGUGAGCCACUGCGCCCGGCAAUAUUGAAUUAUUUACAGAUGAAAUGAUAUGAUGUCUUGGAUUUGCUUUAAAUUAAUCCAGUGGUAGUGAUGAGGUAGAGGGUCGGGAGGGAAUGGGGAUAUAGAUAAUCAAGAUAAUCAAGACUGGCCAUACACUGAUAACUGCUGAAGCUAGGUCAAGGGUACUUGGGAGUUAAUUGUCCUUCUUAUUUCUUAUUUCUUUUUUUUCUUUUUUUUUUUUUUUGGAGACAGAGUCUUGCUGUGUCACCCAGGCUGGAGUGCAGUGGCGUGAUCUCAGCUUACCGCAACCUCCACCUCCCAGGUUCAAGCGAUUCUCCUGCCUCAGCCUCCGGAGUAGCUGGGAUUACAGAAAGUUAUUCUUCUUUGGCUUAAUGUCCACAUGACAAAGAAUCACGCUUUACAGUCUUUAAGGGCCUAUCCCAUGCUCAGCCACCUUUCUACAAAAUCGUGGCGACGUGGGCAGGCAGACACGUGCACUUGGGAGAUCCUGAGAUCCUGUCUGCUCAGGCUGAUGCAGUGACCAGAGUCACCAGAAAACCUCUGCUCCAUCUGGGAGACCCAAGGGAGAUCAUCUGGAAGCUGGUAUCUGGGGACACACUGCUACGUUGUCCAGUCCAAAGUCCAUCAGCUUUGUUUUCUUUCUCUGUCACUCCAACAAGUAAAACAGAGUGUAGAAACAAACACUGCAGGCAAGGUUACCUAGUCUCCUUGGAAAUGUUUCCUUCCUACUGGCUAACUUUCAACCUAAGGGAAAAGGCAGCUCGAUGCUCAACUUGAAGAUUUUCUUUCACAUUCUAUUAUACAUGUGCAUAUAAAGGAGUUUCUCUUAC